AAGCCAGUCAAGGAAUCUGCUUACCUUGAUGUGUUUGCAGAAAUUCAGAAAGAGCUGGUAAUAGCACCCAUGUUCCAAGCCUUAAAGACAUUGAGGACACUAAGGUCCCUGAAAGUGGCUGCCAGA